AUAGCCUUUAGCAACAUAUAAGUAUUAAAGGUAACGCCUGCCCAGUGAAAAUUAAACGGCCGCGGUAUCCUAACCGUGCAAAGGUAGCGUAAUCACUUGUCUUCUAAAUAAAGACCAGUAUGAACGGCUAAAUGAGGAUAACCCUGUCUCCUUUGACUAAUCAGUGAAACUGAUCUUCCAGUACAAAAGCUGGAAUAACUACAUAAGACGAGAAGACCCUGUGGAGCUUUAAACUUCAACCAAGAUACCCCCUAACAAACAUCUAUGGCAAACAGUUUUAAGUUGGGGCGACUUUGGAAAAAAACCAAACUUCCAAGCACAAAGGUUUUACCUUAAUCUAGGCUUACUAGCCAAAAUAAAUAUUGACCCAGUCCUACUGAUCAACGAACCAAGUUACCCCAGGGAUAACAGCGCUAUCUUCUUCAAGAGUCCAUAUCGACAAGAAGGUUUACGACCUCGAUGUUGGAUCAGGACACCCAAAUGGUGCAGCCGCUAUUAAUGGUUCGUUUGUUCAACGAUUAACAGUCCUACGU
rnacentral:rRNA from 1 species